GAAGAGCGCGCACAGGAAGAGAGGAAGGCUGAAGAUUGCACGUACCUGAUUGGUCGGAUUCUACGGGAGUGAGAAGCUGGGGAGGGAGGGCUGUAAGCUGGAGAAGUUUGAGGCUCAUGCCAGGCCCUCUCCCCCUGCCCCUCUCUGCCUGCUACCCGUGAAUCAGCUACUGCUGCUCCAGUGCCGCACCUGUCUGCUCCCACCAUGACCGUCAUGGACUAACCCUCUGAAUCUCCCUCACUCCCUGGGGUUAAAGGCGUGAGU